UCCACAGCCAUAUCACCCUGCAGCCCAAGACUGGUUGCCCACUGAAGCUAAGCAGGGUUGAGCUGGUCAGUACCUGGAUGGGAGACCUCCUGGGAAAACUAGGUUGCUGCUGGAA
rnacentral:rRNA from 1 species